rnacentral:rRNA from 1 species
GAUGAACGCUGGCAAUAUGCUUUAGACAUGCAAGUCUAAUUAUACUCUUAAUAGAGCAUAAUGGCGUACGGGUGAGUAAUGUAUGAGAACUUUUACUAAAGAGGAACAUAAGUUUUAGAAAUGAAAUGUAAUAUUCCAUAAUCCUUUUAAUAAAGGUGAAAGAUUGAUUCGCUUUUGAAGAGGCUCAUAUUUGAUUAGCUAGUUGUUGAGGUAACGGCUCAACAAGGCGAUGAUCAAUAGCUGGUCUGAGAGGACGAUCAGCCACAUUGGAACUGAAACAAGGUCCAAACUCCUACGGGAGGCAGCAGUCGGGAAUAUUCUGCAAUGAGCGAAAGCUUGACAGAGCAACAUUGCGUGAGGGAGGAAGAUUUUUUAUAAUUGUAAACCUCUUUUAAGGGAGAAGAAAAAAUGACACUAUCUCUUGAAUAAGUAUCGGUUAACUUCGUGCCAGCAGCCGCGGUAAGACGAGGGAUGCAAGCGUUAUCCGGAAUUAUUGGGCGUAAAAGGUCCGUAGACGGCCUUAUAAGUUUUAAUGCUUUAUAACUUUUGUAUUAAAAUACUGUUUGGCUUGAGAUUUAAGCAUAGGUAAGAGGAAUCCUUGAAGUAAUGGUGAAAUAUGUUGAUAUCAAGGAGAACACUAAAAGCGAAAGCGUCUUUACUAGGUUUUAUCUGACGUUGAUGGACGAAAGCUAAGGGAGCAAAUGGGAUUAGAUACCCCAGUAGUCUUAGCCGUAAACGUUGAGUAUUAAACUUUUCAAUUGCAACUUUUUGGGGGGCACUGACAUUUCUUUCCAGAAAUGUAUACUUAAGGAAGGUUAAAGCUAACGCGUUAAAUACUCUGCCUGGGGAUUGUGCUCGCAAGAGUUAAACUCAAAGGAAUUGACGGGGGCUCGCACAAGCGGUGGAGCAUGUGGUUUAAUUCGAUGUAACGCGAAAAACCUUACCAGUUUUUAUAAGGUAUUUAAUUCUUUGAAAAAAGAAUUUUAAAAGCCUUACAGGUGGUGCAUGGCUGUCGUCAGUUCGUGUCGUGAGAUGUUUGGUUCAAUCCUUAAACGGACGUAACCCUCUCUUUUGUUAAAAAUACAAAAGGAAGAAUAAUUAAACAAUUAUUGGAAGCGGAGGAGGACGUCAAGUCAGUAUGUCCCUUAUGAACUGGGCUACACACGUGCUACAAUGGAUAAUACAAUAUUUUUUAAUUACUAAAAUUAUUCUUAGUCCGGAUUGUUUGUUGAAACUCACAAACAUGAAGAUGGAAUCGCUAGUAAUCGCUAGUCAGCAGCAUAGCGGUGAAUAUGUUCUCGAGCCCUGCACUCACCGC